GGCAGCAGUGGGGAAUAUUGCACAAUGGGGGAAACCCUGAUGCAGCCAUGCCGCGUGUGUGAAGAAGGACCUUCGGGUUGUAAAGCACUUUCAGUAGGGAGGAAGGUAGUGUAGUUAACACCUGCAUUAUUUGACGUUACCUACAGAAGAAGCACCGGCUAACUCCGUGCCAGCAGCCGCGGUAAUACGGAGGGUGCGAGCGUUAAUCGGAAUUACUGGGCGUAAAGCGCAUGCAGGCGGCCUGUUAAGUCAGAUGUGAAAGCCCGGGGCUUAACCUCGGAAUUGCAUUUGAAACUGGCAGGCUAGAGUCUUGUAGAGGGGGGUAGGAAUUUCAGGUGUAGCGGUGAAAUGCGUAGAGAUCUGAAGGAAUACCAGUGGCGAAGGCGGCCCCCUGGACAAAGACUGACGCUCAGAUGCGAAAGCGUGGGGAGCAAACAGGAUUAGAUACCCUGGUAG
rnacentral:rRNA from 1 species